rnacentral:rRNA from 1 species
UACAGAGGUCCCAAGCGUUGUUCGGAUUCACUGGGCGUAAAGGGUGCGUAGGCGGUCGGGUAAGUCUGAUGUGAAAUCUCACAGCUUAACUGUGAAACUGCAGUGGAUACUAUCCGGCUCGAGGAAUGGAGGGGAGACUGGAAUACUUGGUGUAGCAGUGAAAUGCGUAGAUAUCAAGUGGAACACCAGUGGCGAAGGCGAGUCUCUGGGCCGAUACUGACACUGAGGAGCGAAAGCGUGGGGAGCGAACAGG